UACAGAGGUCUCAAGCGUUGUUCGGAUUCAUUGGGCGUAAAGGGUGCGUAGGUGGCGCCAUAAGUCGGGUGUGAAAUCUCGGGGCUUAACUCCGAAACUGCAUUCGAUACUGCCGUGCUUGAGGACUGGAGAGGAGACUGGAAUUUACGGUGUAGCGGUGAAAUGCGUAGAUAUCGUAAGGAAGACCAGUGGCGAAGGCGGGUCUCUGGACAGUUCCUGACGCUGAGGCACGAAGGCCAGGGGGAGCAAACGGG
rnacentral:rRNA from 1 species